UACGUAGGCAGCGAGCGUUGUUCGGAAUUACUGGGCGUAAAGAGUGUGUAGGCGGUGCUCUAAGUUCGGUGUGAAAUCUCCUGGCUCAACUGGGAGGGUGCGCCGGAAACUGGAGUGCUUGAGCGCGGGAGAGGAAAGCGGAAUUCCUGGUGUAGCGGUGAAAUGCGUAGAUAUCAGGAGGAACACCGGUGGCGAAGGCGGUGGGCUGGGCCUGUACUGACGCUGAGGAGCGAAAGCGUGGGGAGCGAACAGG
rnacentral:rRNA from 1 species